rnacentral:tRNA from 1 species
AGAGGUGUGGCUCAACUAGUAGAGUCCUUGCCUAGCAAGUAUGAGGCCCUGGGUUCAAACUCCAGUAUCACCA